AGCUCGUAGGUGGUUUGUCGCGUUGUUCGUGAAAUCUCACGGCUUAACUGUGAGCGUGCGGGCGAUACGGGCAGACUUGAGUACUGCAGGGGAGACUGGAAUUCCUGGUGUAGCGGUGGAAUGCGCAGAUAUCAGGAGGAACACCGGUGGCGAAGGCGGGUCUCUGGGCAGUAACUGAUGCUGAGGAGCGAAAGCGUGGGGAGCGAACAGGAUUAGAUACCCUGGUAGUCCACGCCGUAAACGGUGGGUACUAGGUGUGGGUUUCCUUCCUUGGGAUCCGUGCCGUAGCUAACGCAUUAAGUACCCCGCCUGGGGAGUACGGCCGCAAGGCUAAAACUCAAAGAAAUUGACGGGGGCCCGCACAAGCGGCGGAGCAUGUGGAUUAAUUCGAUGCAACGCGAAGAACCUUACCUGGGUUUGACAUGCACAGGACGCCGGCAGAGAUGUCGGUUCCCUUGUGGCCUGUGUGCAGGUGGUGCAUGGCUGUCGUCAGCUCGUGUCGUGAGAUGUUGGGUUAAGUCCCGCAACGAGCGCAACCCUUGUCUCAUGUUGCCAGCGGGUAAUGCCGGGGACUCGUGAGAGACUGCCGGGGUCAACUCGGAGGAAGGUGGGGAUGACGUCAAGUCAUCAUGCCCCUUAUGUCCAGGGCUUCACACAUGCUACAAUGGCCGGUACAAAGGGCUGCGAUGCCGCGAGGUUAAGCGAAUCCUUUUAAAGCCGGUCUCAGUUCGGAUCGGGGUCUGCAACUCGAC
rnacentral:rRNA from 1 species